rnacentral:sRNA from 1 species
UCUAGGUUUACUUGAAAUUUUAGAUCGAUACCGGCUCAAAUUUAAGUAGGAACGAUCAAAAUCCCGAUGGCACAAGAUCACUCACUCACGAAACUCCACUAAUAGAGAAAACGAUGAACGAAGAAACUUACCAACGUGCUGUUGGCCGAGUGGUAAAUUUUCCAGGUGUAGGUGUUGAGCUCGAGGCACUUGAACUUUCAGAUAUUCAAAAAAAUAAAAUAAAAA